GGUGCAUCAUCGUUUGAUGAAUACAUAGUCAAACGAGGCGAACCGGGGGAACUGAAACAUCUAAGUACCCCGAGGAAAAGAAAUCAACCGAGAUUCCCCCAGUAGCGGCGAGCGAACGGGGAACAGCCCAGAGCCUGAAUCAGCUUGUGUGUUAAUGGAAGCGUCUGGAAAGUCGCACGAUACAGGGUGAAAGUCCCGUACAUGAAAGCACACAGGCUGUGAGCUCGAUGAGUAGGGCGGGACACGUGAUAUCCUGUCUGAAGAUGGGGGGACCAUCCUCCAAGGCUAAAUACUCCUGACUGACCGAUAGUGAACCAGUACCGUGAGGGAAAGGCGAAAAGAACCCCGGCGAGGGGAGUGAAACAGAACCUGAAACCGUGUACGUACAAGCAGUGGGAGCCUUCGUAAGAGGGUGACUGCGUACCUUUUGUAUAAUGGGUCAGCGACUUAUAUUCUGUAGCAAGGUUAACCG
rnacentral:rRNA from 1 species